GGAAGUAAAAGUCGUAAUAAGGUUUCCGUAGGUGAACCUGCGGAGGGAUCAUUAUUGGAUUUUGAAACUUCAGGCUGCUGCUGGCUCUCCUCGGAGGGCAUGUGCACGCUUGUUGUCCAUUAUUUCUCCCACUGUGCACAAAUUGUAGACCUUCCAGUAGGCCUAUGUUGUUUUUCACAAUCUCUGAAUGUAAUAGAAUGGUUUUGAAUCUUGGGAAAUACAAUACAACUUUCAGCAACGGAUCUCUUGGCUCUC
rnacentral:misc_RNA from 1 species